rnacentral:rRNA from 1 species
GAUGAACGCUGGCGGCGUGCCUAAUACAUGCAAGUCGAGCGAACGGACGAGAAGCUUGCUUUUCUGAUGUUAGCGGCGGACGGGUGAGUAACACGUGGAUAACUUACCUAUAAGACUGGGAUAACUUCGGGAAACCGGAGCUAAUACCGGAUAAUAUUUUGAACCGCAUGGUUCAAAAGUGAAAGACGGUCUUGCUGUCACUUAUAGAUGGAUCCGCGCUGCAUUAGCUAGUUGGUAAGGUAACGGCUUACCAAGGCAACGAUGCAUAGCCGACCUGAGAGGGCGAUCGGCCACACUGGAACUGAGACACGAUCCAGACUCCUACGGGAGGCAGCAGUAGGGAAUCUUCCGCAAUGGGCGAAAGCCUGACGGAGCAACGCCGCGUGAGUGAUGAAGGUCUUCGGAUCGUAAAACUCUGUUAUUAGGGAAGAACAUAUGUGUAAGUAACUGUGCACAUCUUGACGGUACCUAAUCAGAAAGCCACGGCUAACUACGUG